UACGUAGGCAGCAAGCGUUGUUCGGAGUUACUGGGCGUAAAGGGUGCGUAGGCGGUUGUUUAAGUUUGGUGUGAAAUCUCCCGGCUCAACUGGGAGGGUGCGCCGAAUACUGAAUGACUAGAGUGCGGGAGAGGAGAGUGGAAUUCCUGGUGUAGCGGUGAAAUGCGCAGAUAUCAGGAAGAACACCCGUGGCGAAGGCGGCUCUCUGGGACGGUACUGACGCUGAGACGCGAAAGCGUGGGGAGCGAACAGG
rnacentral:rRNA from 1 species